rnacentral:rRNA from 1 species
UACGGGGGGGGCAAGCGUUGUUCGGAAUUACUGGGCGUAAAGGGCUCGUAGGCGGCCAACUAAGUCCGACGUGAAAUCCCCAGGCUUGACCUGGGAACUGCGUCGGAUACUGGCGAGCUUGAGUGCAGGAGAGGAACGCGGAAUUCCAGGUGUAGCGGUGAAAUGCGUAGAUAUCUGGAGGAACACCGGUGGCGAAGGCGGCGUUCUGGACUGUAACUGACACUGAGAGACGAAAGCCAGGGUAGCAAACGGG